UUUUCCAAAGACUAUUUUUCAUCAUCUUUUAAAUAGUGCAUAAUUAAAACGUUAAAAUACAUAAAGUUCUAAAAUUGUAUUGUACAUGAUUUAUUAAAAAAGGCUGAAAAAUAUAUAAAUCUACAUAUAGACGAGUAUAAUGCUAUGGUACAUAAUAAACUUUUACUUGAUCAAUUCAUAACCAAUUCCAAUCUAAUUAUAUUCAAAGUGCUGAUGUGGUUUAAAACACAAUUGCUCUAGUACUUGUACUAGCAACAGUAACAGUCACCCCUUCACAGCCAACAACAAUAAAACCACACCACUAAUACACAAUCAUUAACGACAAUUUAUCUACCACCAAAAAAAAACACUAUCCAUAUAUCCAUCGAUCAUUUGUCAUGAUGAUAAAAAAGUAAAACAAUUGUAAAAUGAAAAUUACCCACCUUUUUAGCUUUGUGCAAUUUGACCGAACGUAUGGAACCAAAAACAAUUGGUAACAUGGCCAUAAUGACCAGACUACCAUAGGCUACAGCAAUACCUUCUGGAGUUGAGGGUAUUUUUGCAUUUGUAAUAGUUUCAGUUGCAUUUUCAACAGCCGCCUCAGUUGCAUCUUUCACAGCUUCCACUACUUGUUCAACCACUUCACCUGACAUCUUAUUUUAACUAUUAUAUUAUUUCUUUUUUUAAUUUAUUUUAAUUUUUUUAUACAAUAUUAUUGUAUUUU